GAGAGGGAGAUUCUUCAAAGUGACUAUUUUAGAUAUCUUGGCUCUAUCUUUAAUAAAGAAGGCGAUAUAGAAGAUGAUGUUGCUCAGAGAAUUAAAAUAGAAUGGUUGAGGUGGAGAGGUGCAACCAGAGUGUUGUGUGAUCAGUGAAUUCUUUUAAAGCUUAAAGGAAUAUUCUACAAGAUGGUCAUUCGGCCAGCUAUGAUGUAUUGGGUGGAAUGCUGGACAGUUAAGAAGCGUCAUAUAGAUAAACUAAGUGUAGUAGAGAUGAGGAUGCUGAGAUGGAUGUGCGGCAGAACUAGGAAGGAUAAAGGAAUGACCAGAUUAGAGCCGACUUGGAAGUUGCCCCGAUUCAUGAUAAGCUCCGUAAAAGUCGUUUGAGCUGGCAUGGCCAUGUUCAACGGAGGCUUUGGGAUGCACUAAUAUGGAAGGAGGAGUCUGAUUCAGAUU